ACUUGAAUAGCUUAUAUAGAGCACGACACUGAAGAUGUCGGUGAGGUAUUUUAUACCUUUAAGUA
rnacentral:tRNA from 3 species